ACCUUGUGUGAAUAGCCAGCCUAGGUUAUAUCAUAUUUGGUUAUAGUUGUAGCGUUCAGCUGGCGUUUGUAGGACCUGUUUUUACAGGUUUUGCUGCGUCCUCUUGUAGGGCUGCACGGUGGGUGGCUCGC
rnacentral:lncRNA from 1 species